GGCGAUUCUCGGUUUCUGGGGGCGA
rnacentral:piRNA from 1 species